GGGACAGCCUCUACGUCAGUGGUUACACCUAUGGAGCCAUGGCCCCGACUACCACCAGCUUGCUCAUCCCUCUACUCACACAGUCACCAGUCCCCUAACUCUCAUUUAUGCUUCAUCU